UUUUUUUAAAACCAAAGCCUGUUGAAACGCAUGUCUUUAGCCCCACGGGGCGAGUAAAAAGUUUAAUACAACUUUCAACAACGGAUCUCUUGGCUUUCGCAUCGAUGAAGGACGCCGCGAAAGUGCGAAACGUAAUGUGAAUUGCAGAAUUCAGUGAAUCAUCGAAUCUUUGAACGCAUCUUGCGCUCCUUGGCAUUCCGAGGAGCAUGCCUGUUUGAGUGUCGUGAAAUCAUCCCUCGACCCGACUCCUCGUUAGAGUUUGGGUUGGAUUUGGACGUCUGCGGGGGCGGUCGCCUCUCGCUCGUCUUUAAAUGCAUCAGCUUGGCCCUCGGGUCGGACCGAUCGACGGUGUGAUAAUAACACAUUGAACGCCGUUUUGGCCCGACCUUCGCGUGGGGUCGCUUCUAAUCCCCGGUCCCUUGGGACCGAUUCGACCAUUUGACCUCAAAUCAGGUAGGACUACCCGCUGAACUUAAGCAUAUCAAUAAGCGGAGGAAAAGAAACUAACCAGGAUUCCCCUAGUAACGGCGAGU
rnacentral:rRNA from 1 species